ensembl:miRNA mir216b microRNA mir-216b
UGACUGUUUAAUCUCUGCAGGCAACUGUGAUGGUGUUUUAUAUUCUCACAAUCACCUGGAGAGAUUCUGCAGUUUAU